rfam:Oryza nivara chromosome 1, whole genome shotgun sequence.
AAUAGGUGUAGCCAUAGUUUCUGCGUCCAACUUUAAUCAUCCGUCUUAUUUAAAAUUUUUUAUGAUUAGCAUUUUUGUUGUUAUAAUAUGAUAAAAUAUGAAUAGUACUUUACUCGUGAUUUAUGUUUUUAAUUUUUUUUAAAAAAAUUAAAUAAGACGAAUGAUCAAAGUUAAAUACGGAAAACUAUGCCUGCACUUAUU